AAGUCGUAACAAGGUUUCCGUAGGUGAACCUGCGGAAGGAUCAUUAACACGUAUCCAACGUUAAACAACCCUGUGAACCUUCAUGCCUAGCCCAGGAGGAACAGCAAUCCCGGUAAAUCAAUGGCGGAAAGUUUUGAUUCGGUUACGAUCGAGUGAGCAAAGUGGCAUGGUUUCCCUAAGCAGUGUGAGGCAUCUCGGUUGCCAAGAGGUCGAUCACCGGCCGGCAGACAUGUCACCGGGCUUUAUGCCCCCCCAUUCACACCUUGCCCUAUCAACUCCUGGAGAAAUGCCAGGAGAUAAACCGAACAACUGUUAACAAUGGAUAUCUUGGUUCUC
rnacentral:misc_RNA from 1 species